UUGGUAAGGUAAGAGCUUACCAAGGCGACGAUCAGUAUCUGGUUUGAGAGGACGAUCAGACACACUGGAACUGAGACACGGUCCAGACUCCUACGGGAGGCAGCAGUGGGGAAUAUUGGUCAAUGGUCGCAAGACUGAACCAGCCAUGUCGCGUGAAGGAUGACGGCCCUAUGGGUUGUAAACUUCUUUUAUAUGGGAAGAAAAUUAGUUACGUGUAACUAACUGCCGGUACCAUAUGAAUAAGGAUCGGCUAACUCCGUGCCAGCAGCCGCGGUAAUACGGAGGAUCCAAGCGUUAUCCGGAUUUAUUGGGUUUAAAGGGUGCGUAGGCGGCCACUUAAGUCAGUAGUGAAAUCUCGAGGCUCAACCUCGAACGUGCUAUUGAAACUGAGUGGCUUGAGUACAGACGAGGCAGGCGGAAUGUGUUAUGUAGCGGUGAAAUGCAUAGAUAUAACACAGAACACCGAUAGCGAAGGCAGCUUGCCAGACUGUAACUGACGCUGAUGCACGAAAGCGUGGGUAGCGAACAGGAUUAGAUACCCUGGUAGUCCACGCCGUAAACGAUGAUUACUGGUUGUAGGCGAUACAUAGUCUGUGACUGAGCGAAAGCAUUAAGUAAUCCACCUGGGGAGUACGUUCGCAAGAAUGAAACUCAAAGGAAUGACGG
rnacentral:rRNA from 1 species